UACGUAGGGGGCAAGCGUUGUCCGGAAUCAUUGGGCGUAAAGCGUGCGCAGGCGGCUUUGCAAGACAGAUGUGAAAUCCCCGGGCUUAACCUGGGAACUGCAUUUGUGACUGCAUGGCUAGAGUGCGGCAGAGGGGGAUGGAAUUCCGCGUGUAGCAGUGAAAUGCGUAGAUAUGCGGAGGAGCACCGAUGGCGAAGGCAAUCCCCUGGGCCUGCACUGACGCUCAUGCACGAAAGCGUGGGGAGCAAACAGG
rnacentral:rRNA from 1 species